rnacentral:rRNA from 1 species
AAUCAACGCUGGCGGCGCGCUUAACACAUGCAAGUCGAACGAGAAAGGGGAGCAAUCCCCGAGUAAAGUGGCGUACGGGUGAGUAACACGUGGGUAAUCUGCCUCUGGGUGGGGAAUAACUCUGGGAAACCGGAGCUAAUACCGCAUAAGACCGGAAGGUGAAAGGUGAAAAUCGCCGAGAGAGGAGCCCGCGGCUGAUUAGCUGGAUGGCAGGGUAACGGCCUACCAUGGCAUUGAUCAGUAGCCGGCCUGAGAGGGCACACGGCCACACUGGCACUGAAACACGGGCCAGACUCCUACGGGAGGCAGCAGUGGGGAAUCUUGCACAAUGGGGGAAACCCUGAUGCAGCGACGCCGCGUGAGCGAUGAAGCCCUUCGGGGUGUAAAGCUCUUUCGGCAGGGACGAUAAUGACGGUACCUGAAGAAGAAGCUGCGGCUAACUACGUGC